UUGCAGUCGAACGGUAGCACAGAGAGCUUGCUCUCGGGGGACGAGUGGCGGACGGGGGAGUAAUGUCUGGGAAACUGCCUGAUGGAGGGGGAUAACUACUGGAAACGGUAGCUAAUACCGCAUAACGUCGCAAGACCAAAGAGGGGGACCUUCGGGCCUCUUGCCAUCAGAUGUGCCCAGAUGGGAUUAGCUAGUAGGGGGGGUAACGGCUCACCUAGGCGACGAUCCCUAGCUGGUCUGAGAGGAUGACCAGCCACACUGGAACUGAGACACGGUCCAGACUCCUACGGGAGGCAGCAGUGGGGAAUAUUGCACAAUGGGCGCAAGCCUGAUGCAGCCAUGCCGCGUGUAUGAAGAAGGCCUUCGGGUUUUAAAGUACUUUCAGCGGGGAGGAAGGGGUUUUGGUUAAUAACCGCAGCAAUUGACGUUACCCGCAGAAGAAGCACCGGCUAACUCCGUGCCAGCAGCCGCGGUAAUACGGAGGGGGCAAGCGUUAAUCGGAAUUACUGGGCGUAAAGCGCACGCAGGCGGUCUGUCAAGUCGGAUGUGAAAUCCCCGGGCUCAACCUGGGAACUGCAUUCGAAACUGGCAGGCUAGAGUCUUUUAGAGGGGGGUAGAAUUCCAGGGGUAGCGGGGAAAUGCGUAGAGAUCUGGAGGAAUACCGGGGGCGAAGGCGGCCCCCUGGACAAAGACUGACGCUCAAA
rnacentral:rRNA from 1 species